rnacentral:piRNA from 1 species
UACAGGGGAUUAAGGAUGCAGUAAUAUGGU